rnacentral:rRNA from 1 species
UACGGAGGGUGCAAGCGUUAUCCGGAUUCACUGGGUUUAAAGGGUGCGUAGGAGGGCAGGUAAGUCAGUGGUGAAAUCUCCAAGCUUAACUUGGAAACUGCCGUUGAUACUAUCUGUCUUGAAUACCGUGGAGGUGAGCGGAAUAUGUCAUGUAGCGGUGAAAUGCUUAGAUAUGACAUAGAACACCAAGUGCGAAGGCAGCUCGCUACACGAAUAUUGACUCUGAGGCACGAAAGCGUGGGGAUCAAACAGG